UACGUAGGGUGCAGGCGUUAAUCGGAAUUACUGGGCGUAAAGGGUGCGCAGGCGGUCUCGUAAGCUGGGUGUGAAAGCCCCGGGCUUAACCUGGGAAUGGCAUUCAGGACUGCGAGGCUUUGAGUGCGGCAGAGGGAGGUGGAAUUCCACGUGUAGCAGUGAAAUGCGUAGAGAUGUGGAGGAACACCGAUGGCGAAGGCAGCCUCCUGGGCCAGCACUGACGCUCAUGCACGAAAGCGUGGGGAUCAAACAGG
rnacentral:rRNA from 1 species